UUCCCUAUGGUCCAGUGGUUAGGACUCAGCACUUUCACUGCUGAGGGCACGGGUUCAAUUUCUGGUUUGGGAA
rnacentral:tRNA from 1 species